rnacentral:ribozyme from 14 species
AAAUGCCUUACUUGCUUGCUUGCUUCUUACUCUUCUCUUUCUCUCUCUCUCUCUCUCUUUCUUUUUCUUUUUCUCUCUUGGACGUUUACGUUUGUGAUGUGUCUAGAAAGAGUAUGUAUGGUACCUGUACGGUACUUA